GAUGAAGAACGUAGCGAAAUGCGAUAAGUAGUGUGAAUUGCAGAAUUCAGUGAAUCAUCGAAUCUUUGAACGCACAUUGCGCCCUUUGGUAUUCCAAAGGGCAUGCCUGUUCGAGCGUCAUUUGUACCCUCAAGCUUUGCUUGGUGUUGGGCGUCUUGUCUCUAGCUUUGCUGGAGACUCGCCUUAGAGUAAUUGGCAGCCGGCCUACUGGUUUCGGAGCGCAGCACAAGUCGCACUCUCUAUCAGCAAAGGUCUAGCAUCCAUUAAGCCUUUUUUUCAACUUUUGACCUCGGAUCAGGUAGGGAUACCCGCUGAACUUAAGCAUAUCAAUAAGCGGAGGA
rnacentral:misc_RNA from 1 species